rnacentral:rRNA from 1 species
GACGAACGCUGGCGGCGUGCUUAACACAUGCAAGUCGAACGGUGAAGCGCCUUCCUUUUUGGUGGGUGUGGAUGAGUGGCGAACGGGUGAGUAACACGUGAGUAACCUGCCCCCUUCUUCUGGAUAACCGCAUGAAAGUGUGGCUAAUACGGGAUAUUCUGGGUCUGUCGCAUGAUGGGUCUGGGAAAGAUAUUGUUUCGGUGGGGGAUGGGCUCGCGGCCUAUCAGCUUGUUGGUGGGGUGAUGGCCUACCAAGGCGGUGACGGGUAGCCGGCCUGGGAGGGUGGACGGUCACACUGGGACUGAGACACGGCCCAGCCUCCUACGGGAGGCAGCAGUGGGGAAUAUUGCACAAUGGGCGCAAGCCUGAUGCAGCGACGCCGCGUGAGGGAUGGAGGCCUUCGGGUUGUGAACCUCUUUCGCCAGUGAAGCAGGCCUGCCUCGUUUGUGGGUGGGUUGACGGUAGCUGGAUAAGAAGCGCCGGCUAACUACGUG